UACGAGGGGGGCAAGCGUUGUUCGGAUUCAUUGGGCGUAAAGGGUGCGUAGGCGGCGCGGUAAGUCGGGUGUGAAAUCUCGGAGCUUAACUCCGAAACUGCAUUCGAUACUGCCGUGCUUGAGGACUGGAGAGGAGACUGGAAUUUACGGUGUAGCGGUGAAAUGCGUAGAUAUCGUAAGGAAGACCAGUGGCGAAGGCGGGUCUCUGGACAGUUCCUGACGCUGAGGCACGAAGGCCAGGGGAGCAAACGGG
rnacentral:rRNA from 1 species